AACGAACGCUGGCGGCGUGCUUAACACAUGCACGUCGAACGAUGAACCCGGAGCUUGCUCCGGUGGAUUAGUGGCGAACGGGUGAGUAACACGUGAGUAACCUGCCCUUGACUCUGGGAUAACUCCGGGAAACUGUAGCUAAUACCGGAUACGACCCUCGGCGGCAGCCCCAGGGGGGUGAAAGAAUUUCGGUCAAGGAUGGACUCGCGGCCUAUCAGCUAGUUGGUGAGGUAACGGCUCACCAAGGCGACGACGGGUACGCCGGCCUGUGAGGGUGACCGGCCACACUGGGACUGAGACACGGCCCAGACUCCUACGGGAGGCAGCAGUGGGGAAUAUUGCACAAUGGGCGCAAGCCUGAUGCAGCAACGCCGCGUGAGGGAUGACGGCCUUCGGGUUGUAAACCUCUUUUAGUAGGGAAGAAGCGAAAGUGACGGUACCUGCAGAAGAAGCACCGGCCAACUACGUGCCAGCAGCCGCGGUAA
rnacentral:rRNA from 1 species